GCCUAGUUAGCUUGGUUGGUAGCGCGUCUGCCUUGUAAGCGCUAGGCCGCGGGUUCGAUUCCCGCCCGGAGCG
rnacentral:tRNA from 1 species